UACGUAGGGGGCAAGCGUUAUCCGGAAUUAUUGGGCGUAAAGAGCGCGCAGGUGGUUGAUUAAGUCUGAUGUGAAAGCCCACGGCUUAACCGUGGAGGGUCAUUGGAAACUGGUCAACUUGAGUGCAGAAGAGGGAAGCGGAAUUUCCGGUGUAGCGGUGAAAUGCGUAGAUAUCGGAAGGAACACCAGUGGCGAAAGCGGCUUCCUGGUCCAGCACCGACGUUCAGGCACGAAAGCGUGGGGAGCAAACAGG
rnacentral:rRNA from 1 species